GCCAAGAUUUUAUCAUGAUCUUGCCAAGAUUUUAUCAUGAUCCUGCCAAGAUUUUACCAUUAUCGUACCACGAUUUCAACUUGAUCUUGCCAAGAUUUCACUUUUAUGUAGCCAAUAUUUUAUUACCAUGAUUUUACAAGAUUCAUGGGACGAUCAACUGCAACUUGCCAAGAUUCUGCUAUGAUUUUGUCAAGAUUGUACUGUGAUCUUGCCAAGAUUUUACUGAGAUCAUGUCAAGAUUUUACUGAUAACUUGCAAAGAUUUUACUGAGAUCUUGCCACGAUUUCUUUGUGAUCUUCGCAAGAUUUCGCUGUGACCUUGUCAAGAUUGUACUGUGAUCUUGCCAAGAUUUUACUGAGAUGUUGCCAAGAUUUUACCGAGAUCAUGUCAAGAUGUUACUAAUAACUCGCCAAGAUUUAUUUCAGAUCGUGCAAGAUUUCACAGUGAUUUUCGUAAGAUUUCGUUGUGAUUUUGUCAAUGUAAUUUGCCCAGCUAGGUUUUACAGUGAUUUUUCCAAGAUUCCACAAUAAUUUCGCCAAGACUUUACCAUGAUUAUGAGUCCACAAAGAACACAUACUUCACAUACGGGACAAAUUAUUGUAAACUCUUGAAAUAUUUACAAACAUGCUCGUGCUUGCAACUAUGAACAGUUAAUGUUAAUAACAGGUGUAAUAUAGGCAUUCACAAAUUCUUCGUUCAUUUCAAAAACUGCUGUAUGUUUCCGAGAGAUGCCCACGUUUUCACGUUUUUUUACAUGACUUGAUAGACCCAUCUGGAAACAAAACUGAGAGAAAGCGAAGCCUCAGUCCACAAGAUGUUCAUCCUUAUCAAGACUCCGACUCCGAAGCGAGCGAUUUCUGAGGUGAAGAUAAGGACAAAAAAUCCAAAGUCGCAUUUGGAUUUCGACUUCGACGAUGAUGCCCUGAGCAAAGAAUACGAAAAAUUAAACCGUCUGUCCGAGAUGCUAACGAAGAGUGAAUAUCAGUUAAAAUCGAAUGAUAAAGCAACAAAUGAGCGCUUGGAUUGACUGGAAAACGAUGUGAAGAAAAUCUCCAAGGCAAUUGAUAAUUUGAAAGAUGCAGUAAAAAAGUUAACUGCUGUAAAAACCACUUUAGUUUUACAGGAUGACAAAUUGCCUAAGAAGUCAUUAAUAAGUCCAACUACAGCUAAAAAGGAGACUGAAAACGCAGCAAUGUGGCAGAAUGAGGUUAAUUUAAUGAAUAUGAAAGCUCAACCAAAAGAGCCAGCAAAUGUGCAAUUAAUUUGCUUAACCACUUGUGUAGUCAAAGCGAACUCCAGGACAGGAUUUUGUUAAAUCGAAAAAAUCAACGAAAACACCCCUAGAUGCCGAGGGGUCACUAAACUGUUUGCAGUUAUUGCCACUUAAAACACAAAAAAAGCCGCGCAAAAGGGAUUGGUACAAAAUCAUUGAUGUGACGUCACAAUAGCAACUGGUUUGACUCAUUCAUAUUACAAAAAGAAGAAAGAUGGCGGCGCAAAAAAUGCACGGAAAUAUAAAUAUGCCCAAUAGAUGGAUUGUUGGGGGUUGCUCUAAUACCUCUAAUCCGGAAAAGGAAUUUUUCUUCAUUUUAUACCGUUUCCUGGUGACGAAAGGCCAGAACCAAAAAAAAAGACGAAAGCAGAGGAUUGAUUUCGUGCUGUUGAAGAGGGAAAAUUGUAUGUGACUCCAAAUUUUACAAGAAAGAUUUCACACAAAUGUUUUCUGGUUUCUCUGGUGAGGUAUAGCGGUUAGCCACCGAUGAAAAUGGCGUUGUGCAUGGCAGCCCCUAAGUGUCACGAAGUAACAACGGAAGUCAAACCUUCGUCUGCAAGAGCUAGGAGAAUGAUAAGUUCACAAACAACGUUUCGACUGGGACAGACGGUUGUGUUGGUUGUGUCGGUUGUGCGUAUUUACUAAAAGAAAAACGGAAGACUGGGAACAAGUAUAUAGCGCUUAAAAGCAAAUACGAUGAAUUGGUGUUAAAGUUAAACAUUCCAAAGAUCUCUAUGCAAUAUUCCUUCUCCGUGAAGAAAUGCAAGUCCAGCAAAGAUAUCUUUGAUCAUUUUUCGCCCAUGCCUUUGCAAAUGAUCAGUGGAAAGAGAACAAACGUACUUAUCCAGUGUCUUUUCACAGAGAUCAAGAAUGAGCUGUGUCUUCACAGGCUUGUAUCAACAUUCGCUUUAUAGCUACUUCACUGCCGUCUUGCAAAAUCCCGACAUAGACAAACGUCCCCGAAGAG